UUUUUUUUUAGGUCUGUUUGAGUUUAUUUUAUAGAUUCAAAAUAUAUGUUUCUCAUUGUUUUUAACCGUAUAAGAGUGAUUUUAUAUGGAUCGAAACAGUAAUCAAAUGAUUUACCGUAGUUUCACUUUCAUUGUUGACAUUCUUUUUCUUUAAAUAACCAGUACACGUACAAUGCAUGCGUUGUCAAUCUCUAGCAAGGGGUUAAAUUGAAGUUCACAUGAAUACGGAUUUAAUGAGGUCGACUAAUUCACUUGCAAGUGAAUGAGUAAUUAUCAAUGUUUCUUCGCUUU
rnacentral:lncRNA from 1 species